rnacentral:rRNA from 1 species
UACGGAGGGUGCAAGCGUUAAUCGGAAUUACUGGGCGUAAAGCGUGCGCAGGCGGUUUGUUACGUCCGUUGUGAAAGCCCCGAGCUCAACUUGGGAAUUGCAGUGGAUACUGGCAGGCUGGAGUACGGUAGAGGAAGGUGGAAUUCCCGGUGUAGCAGUGAAAUGCGUAGAUAUCGGGAGGAACACCAGUGGCGAAGGCGGCCUUCUGGACCAGUACUGACGCUCAUGCACGAAAGCGUGGGGAGCAAACAGG